AAUUGUCUAUCCCUGACUUAAGUGUGGAAGGAAUUAAGACAGAGGGUGUCUGUUCUUGUAUCAGGAAUAGGCGUGCCACUCCCCAAGCACUCAGAGCAUCUGCUGCCUGGACUGAUUCUUAAACCAAAAGCCACACAUGGCUUCUGUGCUUGACAGCUGAGGUGGCCUUUUAUGUCCAGUUGGAAUUUCAGUUUGGGUCGGCUGGAAUGGGUUCACAUACACACCAGAAGAUGGACUCUGUGGGUCAGAGAAAGCUUCUGGGGCUGAGACAGACUAGGCUGACAUUGUGCAAAUACUACAGGUUUAUUUCUUGGGAAUUUACCCCCCAAAAUAAGGUACUUUCAGUGCCUUCAUGUGGCAUCCUCAGGCUCUUUAAGCCAGUCCCUACUCUUUGGGGAUUUUUAUCUGCUCACUAAAUAUCAGCUAUUUUGUCCAGAUUAACAGAAUAUCUGCACAUUGCUACUCAACCAAGCCUUAGGCCAUGUGGAGAGCAGUUCCUCUGGGGAGGCUGGCAAGCUCAUUCUCUCCAGUAGUCUCAAGAGGAAGUGAGAGCAGCCCCCAGCCAGGAAACCAGCACUGGGUUAGCGGCUGAUCUAAUGGCUCAAGUUCUACAGGUGAGGUCCAGGUGGGCUUCUAAAAUAAUUCUGAAGCUAGAUAAGGAAGGAAUAAGCAGGUGUUAAAGGAUCAUAUGUAUAUCUUUGUGAUUAACAGAAAAUUUUGAUGAAAUAGCCACUGGGCAUGAAUAUCCAUAAUACCACCCUGUGUUUAUGUUAUUCUCUUUUACUCAGAGAGCGUAUUACAGAAUGCCUUUCAUCUGACAGGUUCAGAGAUCUCUCCAGUGUUAACUUUGCACAUUAAGGCACUUCGCUUUAACAACUGUAAUCACUCUGAGGGCAAGAGCCCUGUCUUGUAAUUCCUUUAUGCUUCACACAGUACCAAACAGGGUAUCAGACAUGCAGUGGGCGCUCAGGGAAUACUUGCUUUAAAAAAAGAAAAUGGACUAAAGGAACAAUGAAUGGCUGUGCUUUAACUCUGAGAUUAGGCCUGCCUUGAUUGUCAUGUCUGAAGAAACUGGACCGUGGUACGUUACAGACAGAAAACGGAAGUGGGGAUAUUGCAACUUCUCUGAUGAGAAUAAUGACAGCAGCUGACUUUCCUCUAUACCAAAAACUGCAUAAGUACUUUACAUAUAUUACCUCAUUUAAACCUCACCACAACCCCACAGGCUGUUCACUGUUAUUACUAUCCUUCUUUUACAUAUGACAAAACAUUACCCAAGUUGCACAACUAAUAAAUAGUCACAUCAGGACUUGAAUCCAGAGAUCAGUUAGCCUCCAAAGUCCAUGCUUUUAGGUACAUUCCUGCUCCAGAAUAUCUAACAACAACAUGCAUAGCUCCAUUUACUAACCACCCUUCUUAGAGUUAUUGCCUCACAACAUAGUAUCUGAAGUGGGAGGGAGGGUGAGCAAACACAGUUCAUAACGUACCCGUUUGCAUGGUUUUGAUGUGCUUUCCGGUGCGUUAUUUCGUUUAAUCCUCACAGCACCCUGGCAAAAGUAUGUCACUAUUAUCUCUAAUCUAUAAGGAAUAUAUCUCUGGAGAACUAGUCAAAUCAAAAAAGAAGUAAAUGCUAAAAUUCAGAAGCUGAGAGGUAACAACUCAACUGAUAACUGAUAACUCUACUGUGCCUCAUCUCAGCCCUGAGUGCUGGUCUGGGUGCCUCCUUAUGUUUCCUUCCUUUCUUACUUGUUCACACUCCAACGAGCCAUCAAGCUUACACCUGUCUCUAUCGGCCCCAUAAAUACAAAUAUGGUUUACGUUGAUUUGCUGUGCCACUAAGUCAUUUCAAAAGCAGAGGCAAGGUGCAGAAGAAACAGGAAAAGUGACAGUGCAUGAAAUGCUAUGUAACAAUUAAAAAGAAUGGAUUAGAUUUAAAUGUACUGCCAUGAAAAGAUCUCCAGAAGGCAAAGUAAGUAAAAAAAAAAAAAAAAAAGCAAGUUGCAGAAUAAAAAGUACAGCAUGGUACAAUUUAUAUUUUAAAAAGGUUCAAAACAAUAUGAUACAAACACAUACAUCUAUGCAAACACACAUAGAAACAGUUGGUUGUGUCCCAAAUUGAUAAGCGGUUUCUCUGGGGAGAGGAUGGGAGUGGCGUGGGGUGCGCAGCGUUGGCAGAACUUCCCUUUAUCGUUUUACAAGAUAAUUUACUCAAAUAGCGUGCACGUAAAAGAAAGAAGAGAGAAAGAAAGCACAGAAAAGAAACAAGUGAGGCUGUUAGAAAAUAAAAGGUUAGCAACAUGCCGUAAAGUACAGUAAGUGGUACAAAAACACCACACGAAAAUCCGCUGCCUCAUUCAUGUCCAUAAGAGACCGAGAGAUUGGAAGAGAGUCCUCAUGUUGGCAUUAUGAUUAUGAACCAGCUGAUUUUAGAAAUGUAAUGUCUCCUGACUCUACCAGAAAGACAGAGCAGAGAAGUACACUAGACUUGGAGCCAGAUGACCUGGGUUCAAGGCCUGACUGCAUUUUUCUGUUACCUUGGGCUAAUUCCUCAGGGCCGUGAUUUCCUCAUCUGUCGAUGAAGAUAUUGGCAACAUACUUCACAGGGUGCUUCGGAGAUUAAAUGAGGCCUGGAGGGAAAAAAUAGACCAGUUUUUCUAAAGGGAAAGAUACUGCAGCGCCACUGGGGAGCCGGGAAACACGGAUUGCUUCAUGAAGGAGAGCUCAGAGAGGAUUCCGGGCCUGGCGCUACCUCCACGUGUCUGAAGCAAAUGCCUUGCCCCGCUGUGCUCAGUUUCCAUAUCUGUAAAAUGCCAUCAAUAAUUCUUGAAUCUUCAUCAUAUCAAAAAUAUGUUAUACUGGUAUUAUAUAAGAAUUAGAUAAUAAAAUGAUAGAGCUGGAAAUGAUCUUAGAGA